ensembl:lncRNA
CGGCAGCUCAUGUCACAGCUGCAACAUACAAAGAUCCCAAAAUCUUCAUUGCACACAUCUUAAUGCUCACUGUGACUCAUCCCUUCACAUGUAUGCAACCUGCACAUGGACUCACUGUCUUGCUCUACCUGGCCUUUUGUCACGCUCAAACACAUGCCUACCUUAUGUGACCUUUAGUAGAAUUUUAUAUUUAGGCAUCUGGUGACCAUGGAGGGGGCAGGAGACACACAUUCUUAGUGUGGAACAGCAGCAGACAAAUUCCCAUUCACACUCACAUACUUAUAACUUGCUAUAGGCUCUCAUUCAGUGUGUGAGAGCAUAUGAGUAGCAGAGCCAAAAUAAGGUCAUGUGGAGUUACCUUUCAACCAGACAGAGUUGAAUUAAUACUUUUAAGUGGUAAAGUACAAGACAGAAUUGGAGAAAAGAUAACGAUAACCUCAAAUUAACCCAAUUCUAAAAUAGCAAAAUGACAGUAUUUUGAUUUUAUGCGUAUCUUAAUAUUAUGGAAUAGUUAGUCUAUAAUCUAAUCUAUAUUAUAGUCUAUAAUAAUUUGUACUGUAUAUAACAUGCACUGACAUGUGGUGUGUUCAAUGUUCUUUCCAGGAUUCAAUUCUAAUAUUAACCUGCCAGGAAGAGAAGAAUGUGGCUCUGCCCCAACCUCACCGUCCCUUCAGCUCCAGGAUAGGAACGCUAACAACCACUCUCCUCACUCCUCAAGCCCUGCCCCUGUAGAGAAUGGCAACCAGAUAUCCAACGGGUCGCUGGAGGAUGAGAGUCACAGCAAGUCAAACUCCUCCAGUUCCACCUCUCUGCACAGACACAUGGACAGCCAUCAUAAUCAGGUGUUCCAGAGGUUCCCUUUGCCCACCAGGGAUGAGAGCGCCGCCAUGGGAAAGCUUCGGCGGUGGCAACGAACGCAGUGUGAGGGGCGGGGGGAUUGGAAACACCGUCCGCCUCAGUGCCCUCCUCUGCCCCCCACGCUGCUCUGGACCAACAGGAAGGCCUCUCCAUGACAGAAGCUGUGUGAUGCAGUCGCAUGUUUUGGCUAUGAUGUUCUUCCCUCUCUUUCUCUUCAACCACACUCACACAUGCUCUUAUUGCUUUUUGAUUUAUUUAUUUAUUUUUGAAUGUGGACCAAGCAAUCGCCAUGCCCAGGGGUUAGACUGAAGCUCCAAGCCCCAAAGCAUGAGCCUAGCCCCUUGGCUGCAGGUCCUUCCUCUCUGCCUUUGACUUCAACUGUGGAGGAUGUCCCAACCUUUAUGAUAGAAGCACAGCACUAUAUGAGACUGACAACUGUUAAACAUGAAAAAUGAGUGGAAAGCAGACCCAGUAGAGGUUCUUGGCAGCCUAGGGAUAUUUUGUGAUCAAAUUAUUUAUUAACAAAAAGAGACUGAAAAAAAUGAAGAUGACCUUAUUAUUUAUCUCAGUUCAUCUGAGAUAAUAUGUAUGAUGCCCACUGAUGGAUUAAACAGCCAAGUAGCAGUGUGUUCAUGGUAGUCAGAUAUUAAAGGGCCCUCUGUAUCUCAGCCUAUCAUGAUGUACUGCUGCACACAAAGGAGCUACACCCCAAAACAUGGUGCUGAUUAUACUUGAUGUGGUGUCAUGUGACGUUCCCAUCUGUGGUGACCCCAUGAGUGCUUGUAUGUGUGCGCCCACACCCCCACAGUCUCAGACCUCUCUAAAGUUUACAAGUCGACUGAUGCCUUUGGACACGUCUGGUUUUUAGCAUCAGUGUACUGGCUUUGUCUAGGGACCUUUUUCAGGUACACAGCUCUUAUUUAGCCUCUCACCGUUUGGGCUAUAAGUGCUACUGCAGCCCUGGCAACAAGCGACCAGGGGUCAGGGUAACCUCAGUAAUAUCCCAAGGUGCAUUUCUUUUCCCCAUUAUUACCACCAGCCUUUGAGGAACAAAACCCUCUGGCCAAAAUGCAAACUCCUGCACUUACCUUUACUAUAAGAAGGGGAUCAAACAAUAAAACACGGUUUGGUUUAAAGCAGGGGUAGCCUACACUGGUCCUCGAGAGCCACUAACCUGCUUGUUUUCCAACUAUCCCUGUCCUACACACUGCUGAUUACCUGGAUCAGGAGUGUUCACUCAGUCAGAAACUAAAAGGGCAGGGGUACAAAUGGAAAACAAGCAGGGCAGUAGCUCCUGAGCACCAGGAUUGGCUACCCCUGGUUUAGGGGAUAAAGGUAAAGCUAGAAAAAUGAAACUUUAGCUGACAGGUAUAAAGUUGAUGUUGGUGACAAUAAACUGUGCCAAAGUGAAACAACUUGUGAAAGACAUGUCUGAACUAACAAGCAUAGUUAUGAAAACGGAUGUACACAUUACUCCCCAUAUACUGAUAUAUGUACAGACUGACAAAUGACCAAAUCAUAGCUGUUACUGCGGUUCAGUGGUGAUUCAGUGGGCUGUUUCAAAAUAAAUCUAAAGAACAUGUUGAAAAGAGGAGAUAAAACAACAACAGUCUACGCUUGAAAAGUAACAACUUAACUCUCAUUUUGUCUCAUCGACACCUGAACAGCUUCAUGUGUUGGGUGUCGUUCAGGAGACUGUGCAGAGCUCAGGAACUCACGCACAGAUGAACUUGAUCAUUGUACAGAUCCCUCCAUCGUGGGAGUGUCCUCACAGAAGCCCACUACCUUUCUUUUCCUCUCUUCAUCUCCUUUUCACACUUGACCUCAACAAACUGACCCCAACAACUGCCAUCAUCACCUACGUAAUGGAUCAAACCGGCUCUACGGGUGUUUCCAUGGUAAUCACAAUGUAAAUACUGACCACUGUCAUAUGUUCUAGUUUUUACUAUAAGAGAAAAGCACAGAGAAUGAACUGGAGGAAGAGAUGAGAUAAUACUGUCUAUGAUGGUGAAACUGAGAUUUAAGAAUGUCUUGGGUUCGAUGCAAUGACUGAGGUAAAGAGAAGAGAUUUAUUUUAAAAUGUGAAUAUCUGUUGUUUUUUUUUUUUUUUCAGAAUGAUUGUCUAUGGCUAUGAAAUUCUUUAUACACUAUUUAAUAUUAUUUAGUUCCCCCUUAUCUUGAAUCUGUUGUUCUGUUGAUGCAAGGCAGACGUUUUAAUUGUAUAUGGAUGUUUUAUUACACAAUGUUUAUGUGUUGUCGUGUUCUGUAAUGGGCUGGGUGUCUCUUGACAAGCUGUUUGAUCCUUGAAGAUUGGUCUGAAAUGUAAAAGCCGCAAAGUAUCAGUAGUUCUAAUUGAUUUCUCAUUCCCACUGAUCACCCACAAUGUGUCUGAUUGAUUCAGCCUCAGACGAAUUAGCAGAACCAUCGGAGGAUCAAUCUCAGCUGCUGUCAGUGCGUGAAGGUGCACAAAUAUGCAAGAGGAAUUAUUCACAACAGAGGUGGCAAAUCAGCUGAAUUGCAUUUUUGACUGACUGGCUGAAUGUACUAAUGCACAUUUUUAUCUGACUCUGCAUAUCAAUGAAACCCUGUGUAACCUUAUUACUAGAACAUGCAUCUGUAUCUAAAGACUGUACCUGACUACUUAAUGUGAUUAUUGUCUUUAAAAGUUAUGUAUGCAGCAUAUUCUUUAAAGCAAGUUUUUAACAUUAAGGCAUUGAUUUGUUCCAUGAUUCACACCAUGUGUGCUCUGAGUGGGGUUGCAUGAGUAGUGCUGCAUUGCAGAACUACAUUAGACACUUUCAUGACGGUGCAAUUCUGCACCAUCCCAUCUGUGAUCAAACAAAAUCAACCAACCAUAUGUUAACAAGAACCAAGACCAAGCUAGUUAACUUUGCAAAUGCCAAUGAAAGAGAAUUUAUAGACUUACAUUUAUUUUGAUUAGGGUUCUGGUUAUUCAUGUGUUUUGUGUGUCACCAUGUUUAUUGAGAUCAUAAAAUAAGGAGAUUAUUUGUUUUUUUAUUGUCUUUAAAAACGUAUUAAUACAUUUUACCUUGCAUGACCACACGUUCGGCCUAGCCCCGUAUAAUGUGAUCAUGCUGAGGGAAGCUGUCUAAUGUGAAGAACUGCUUCCUACCGCACUGUGAAUCACUACAUUGUCUCAUCAUCCAUCCUUGUUCACCUUUAACUGGACCAGCCCAGGCACAUAUCAGCUCCGUCAUAUACAAUCCCCGAUGACCUAACUCAAGUGUGUUGUAAGCAUAGCAAACAGUGGAUCCAGGAUUACUGUCGGUCAUCUUUGUUAGUCAUGAAUCUAUAAAUCCUCUGCUCUGAGAUCAGCUCUCUGGUGCUACAGCCAGUGCAGAAUGACCAUUUUAUUAUCCCUAGUUCAUGUAGAGUUUACCAGAGACACAUUAUUUUAGCACCUAAGCAGGAGUAUCUCACUGCCUUUCAUUGUGUUGUUUUUUUAGUGUACUUCUUUUGUACAUGACAUACAGUAUAUUUUAACCUGCAUACAUAUGUAUUUGUGAAAAGAAUUGUAUGUGAUAUUUCAUAAUUAUUAUGUUCCUAAUGUUUUAUAAGUACUGUACCUGUACAGCAAUAAAG